rnacentral:lncRNA from 1 species
AGCACUUCUCCUGCUGCCGCCAUGUGAAGAACGACGUGUUUGCUUCCCCUACCACCAUGAUUGUGAGUUUCCUGAGGCCUCCCCAGCCACGCUGAACUACUUUUUAUAAGCCCAUGGCCCUAAACUCUCAAGAAGGAAAUGAGUGUCCUUAGAAUGUGACCUUCCUCUCCAACUUGUCCCACACCUGCUAAGACACAGAGUGGAAGGAGCUGAAAAGCCAGAGACCCACUUAAGAUCCAGAAGCAUAAGCAGCAGUUGCAGAGAGGCACACAGACUAGCCACCCAUCUCUCAAGAAGAGUUGUUCCAAGUACAGGUUUGGAAUCUUCAGUCUGAAAACGGGGUCUUUUGAUCUCUCCCCACUUUGGUGCAGUCUGCUCCGAUUAGUGCCGAGAUUGAGACUGGAACAAACCAUGGUAGCUGUCAAUGGCACAAGGACCCCAUCUGCUCCAGACUUGACUGACCCUGGCUCUUGUACUCCCUGCCACCCACUCCUACACCCUGUCUUCCCUCCUUCUCCAAUGACAAGAGAUAUUCAUUGAAACAACCUUGCUCCCAUUUCUCUAUCUGCAGCAGGGCUGAAUUGAAAUUUCUUAUGUCCAAAUGCCCAUUCUCUGAAUAAAAAAAUAUUUUGAAACCAGACUUUCUAAUCAACAGAUACUAAUACGCUAUACAGUGAAUAGCAUGUCUUUAUUCUAUUUACAGUAUAUUUGUUAUAAAUAUAAUACAUUUUUGAAAAGCUUAUUUUUAAUUAACUUGAGAUUUAUAUUUUAAACAGAUCAACUCAAUAGUUAACGUUAUAUAAUAAAGAAUAUGGUAAUUUUAAUGACAAAAAUCGUAUUGUGAAAUAGCGC